rnacentral:rRNA from 1 species
AGUGAACGCUGGCGGUAGGCCUAACACAUGCAAGUCGAACGGCAGCACAGGAGAGCUUGCUCUCUGGGUGGCGAGUGGCGGACGGGUGAGGAAUACAUCGGAAUCUACUUUUUCGUGGGGGAUAACGUAGGGAAACUUACGCUAAUACCGCAUACGACCUACGGGUGAAAGCAGGGGACCUUCGGGCCUUGCGCGAUUGAAUGAGCCGAUGUCGGAUUAGCUAGUUGGCGGGGUAAAGGCCCACCAAGGCGACGAUCCGUAGCUGGUCUGAGAGGAUGAUCAGCCACGUUGGAACUGAAACACGGUACAGACUCCUACGGGAGGCAGCAGUGGGGAAUAUUGGGCAAUGGGCGCAAGCCUGAUUCAGCCAUACCGCGUGUGUGAAGAAGGCCUUCGGGUUGUAAAGCCCUUUUGUUGGGAAAGAAAUCCAGCUGGCUAAUACCCGGUUGGGAUGACGGUACCCAAAGAAUAAGCACCGGCUAACUUCGUGCCAGCCGCCGCAGUAA